AAGCACUAUCACCGCGCCUGUUAUCUUGACACAUAAAUUCACAAGUCCCAUGUACCUGUAAUUUCACCAAAUAAAAUGUGUCAAGUUUCUGAGUGUAUCCUUUUUUAUAAUACAUUUUUUUAAGUACCGUUACAAACAACAGGUUAUAAUAAGGUACCCAGGAAUGAGAAGCGCACGUUCAUCAGUAAUAAAAAUUUUAUUUGCAUAAACGGCAGCAAACGGAAAGAAAGCGGUCACCGUCGCCUAUGAACGCCUGCAACACCAGUGGCAUCACGAGUGCGUUGCCUCAAUCCCCUUUUGAAGGACUCCAUGCUGUAUUCCUGCGGGAAAACCCCGACAGGGACUUCACUCCAGAACCUAAUUGUACGUGGGCGAAAGCUCCUCUGAAAUCGUAUAGUAUGGAGAGAUCGACUAAGUUUCAGAGUGUGAGGAUGGACUCCCUGCGUGUGGCGAGCGGUGCGAUCAUAAAAUGUUGCUGUUGUAAUCACGUCAAACAGUUCUUCAGAACAUUGGCCAUUGUACAAGUGAUAGAAUAGACACAGGCAGGCAAAGUCUCUCCUCCAAGACAGUGGUUCAAUAUCGUCUGUAAGCACAGGGUCCUCAACAAUUCUCAUAGCACGUCUUUGAACCGCGUCAAAGGGCCCAUGCUGGCAUCUGAAUAAACCAGUAAAAAGGACAGUGAAAGUCAAUUAUGAUAAUGUCCCACAAAUCUGUAAAACUAUAUGUCUAUAACAGUAGAGCACUGGUGGAGAUAUUGAAUUAAGUAGUUAAAGAAGACCUGGACCCAGUUAUUGGCGUGACUAGGCUAUGUCAAACAUCUGCAUACAACAAGGCGUAGUAGUAAAA